GCACAUAGCCAGUGAUCCGGAGAUUUCCGAAUGAGGGAACUCACAUGGGAAACCCCAUGUACCGUAUAGUGAAUACAUAGCUAUACGGAGGUAAACCUAGGGAACUGAAACAUCUAAGUACCUAGAGGAAGAGAAAGAAAAAUCGAUUUUCUGAGUAGCGGCGAGCGAAAGGGAAAGAGCCCAAACCAGUGACUUGUCACUGGGGUUGCGGACAGAGCAUUAACGAGAAGAUGUUAUUAACCGAACAUAACUGGAAAGUUAGACCGUAGGAGGUAAUAGUCCUGUAGGUGAAAGUAACAUUUAUCAAGCUUUGAUCCAGAGUACCACGAGACACGUGAAACCUUGUGGGAAGCAGGGAGGACCACCUCCCAAGGCUAAAUACUACCUGAUGACCGAUAGUGAAGCAGUACCGUGAGGGAAAGGUGAAAAGAACCCCGGGAGGGGAGUGAAAUAGAACCUGAAACCGUGUGCCUACAACCGGUCAAAGCCCCAUAUGAGGGUGAUGACGUGCUUUUUGUAGAACGAGCCAACGAGUUACGGUAUGUAGCAAGGUUAAGUACUUAAGGUACGGAGCCGAAGGGAAACCGAGUCUUAAUAGGGCGACUAGUUGCAUGCCGUAGACCCGAAACCGGGUGACCUAUCCAUGGCCAGGUUGAAGCGAGGGUAAAACCUCGUGGAGGACCGAACCACGUUGCUGUUGAAAAAGCAUGGGAUGAGCUGUGGAUAGCGGAGAAAUUCCAAUCGAACUCGGAGAUAGCUGGUUCUCCCCGAAAUAGCUUUAGGGCUAGCGUCGGAUAUGUGUAGUGGAGGUAGAGCACUGAAUGGGCUAGGGGGCAUAUCGCUUACCGAACCUUAUCAAACUCCGAAUGCCAUAUACAUUUAGUCCGGCAGUCAGACUACGAAUGAUAAGAUCCGUGGUCAAAAGGGAAACAGCCCAGAUCGUCAGCUAAGGUCCCAAAGUGUAAGUUAAGUGGAAAAGGAUGUGGGAUUUCUAAGACAACUAGGAUGUUGGCUUAGAAGCAGCCACUCAUUUAAAGAGUGCGUAAUAGCUCACUAGUCGAGAGAUCCUGCGCCGAAAAUGUCCGGGGCUAAAACUUACCACCGAAGCUACGGGCUUGCGUAAGCAAGCGGUAGGGGAGCGUCGUAAUCGGGCUGAAGUCGUACCGUAAGGAGCGGUGGACUGAUUACGAGUGAGAAUGUUGGCAUUAGUAGCGAGAUGUAGGUGAGAAUCCUACAGGCCGAAUAUCUAAGGUUUCCUCAGGAAGGCUCGUCCGCUGAGGGUUAGUCGGGACCUAAGCCGAGGCCGAAAGGCGUAGGCGAUGGACAACAGGUUGAUAUUCCUGUACCACUACCAUCGUUAUUAUCGAGGGUGUGACGGAGAAGGAUAGUGUGUGCUAGCGAUUGGAAAUGCUAGUCUAAGCGUUUAGGCAGUUACGGUAGGCAAAUCCGCUGUAAUGUUAAUGCUGAGGCGUGAUGGGGAAGGCCCUUGAGGCUGAAGUACAUGAUUCCAUGCUUCCAAGAAAAGCAUCUAGAGAGAGAAGUAGUGCCCGUACCGCAAACCGACACAGGUAGAUGAGGAGAGAAUCCUAAGGCCGGCGGAAGAAUUGCAGUUAAGGAACUAGGCAAAUUGACCCCGUAAGUUAGCGAGAAGGGGUGCCUACGAGAGUAGGCCGCAGAGAAUAGGCCCAAGCAACUGUUUAGCAAAAACACAGGUCUCUGCUAAAGCGCAAGCUGAUGUAUAGGGGCUGACGCCUGCCCGGUGCUGGAAGGUUAAGGGGAACACUUAGCGCAAGCGAAGGUGUGAACUUAAGCCCCAGUAAACGGCGGCCGUAACUAUAACGGUCCUAAGGUAGCGAAAUUCCUUGUCAGGUAAGUUCUGACCCGCACGAAUGGCGUAAUGACUUGGGCACUGUCUCAACUGCAAAUCCGGCGAAGUUGUAGUGCGAGUGAAGAUGCUCGCUACCCGCGAUUGGACGGAAAGACCCCGUAGAGCUUUACUGUAGCUUAGCAUUGAAUUCCGGUAUUGUCUGUACAGGAUAGGUGGGAGACUGGGAAACUAGGGCGUCAGCCUUAGUGGAGUCAUCCUUGGGAUACCACCCUGACAGUACUGGGGUUCUAACAGGAUGCCAUGAAUCUGGUGACUGGACAUUGUUAGGUGGGCAGUUUGACUGGGGCGGUCGCCUCCUAAAAAGUAACGGAGGCGCCCAAAGGUUCCCUCAGAACGGUCGGAAAUCGUUCGUAGAGUGCAAAGGCAGAAGGGAGCCUGACUGCGAGACCUACAAGUCGAGCAGGGACGAAAGUCGGGCUUAGUGAUCCGGUGGUA
rnacentral:rRNA from 1 species